rnacentral:rRNA from 1 species
CCUACGGGCGGCAGCAGUGAGGAAUAUUGGUCAAUGGGCGAGAGCCUGAACCAGCCAAGUCGCGUGAGGGAGUACUGCCCUAUGGGUUGUAAACCUCUUUUGUCGGGGAGCAAAAGCCGGACGUGUCCGGCUGUGAGAGUACCCGAAGAAAAAGCAUCGGCUACCUCCGUGCCAGCAGCCGCGGUAAUACGGAGGAUGCGAGCGUUAUCCGGAUUUAUUGGGUUUAAAGGGUGCGCAGGCGGAUUUUUAUGUCAGCGGUAAAAUCGUGGGGCUCAACCCCAUCCAGCCGUUGAAACUGGGGAUCUAGAGUGUGCGAGAGGUAUGCGGAAUGCGUGGUGUAGCGGUGAAAUGCAUAGAUAUCACGCAGAACCCCGAUUGCGAAGGCAGCAUACCGGUGCACAACUGACGCUCAGGCACGAAAGCGUGGGUAUCGAACAGGAUUAGAUACCCCUGUAGUC